rnacentral:rRNA from 1 species
UACGUAGGGUGCGAGCGUUAAUCGGAAUUACUGGGCGUAAAGCGUGCGCAGGCGGUUCGUUAAGUCAGAUGUGAAAGCCCCGGGCUCAACCUGGGAACGGCAUUUGAAACUGGCGGGCUGGAGUGUGGCAGAGGGGGGUGGAAUUCCACGUGUAGCAGUGAAAUGCGUAGAGAUGUGGAGGAACACCGAUGGCGAAGGCAGCCCCCUGGGCCAACACUGACGCUCAGGCACGAAAGCGUGGGGAGCGAACAGG